AUGGUCGACUCCGGUUGUAAGAUAUGCGGUGGUGAGAUGGCAUCGACGUGUGCGUCGCGCCGGUGUCGGUGUUACAGUGAAGCUGUUACCAGCGCAGAAGGUGGAUACAGUCAGGCUGAAGGCGGCCACGUUGCUGGUUGUGUACGAAUGGUUUGGUGUUUGGACCAUGGGAUGUUAGGUUAUGGUGGAGUUAUAUUAUGA